rnacentral:rRNA from 1 species
UGAACGCUGGCGGCGUGCUUAACACAUGCAAGUCGAACGAGAAAGGGAUUGCUUGCAAUCCUGAGUAGAGUGGCGCACGGGUGAGUAACACGUAGAUAAUCUACCCUCAAGCCUGGGAUAACUAUUCGAAAGGAUAGCUAAUACCGGAUAAAGUUAUUUGUCAUAAGUCAAAUGAUGAAAGAUUGCCUCUAUUUAUAAGCAAUUGUUUGGGGAUGAGUCUGCGGACCAUUAGUUAGUUGGUAGGGUAAAGGCCUACCAAGACAGCUAUGGUUAGCUGGUCUGGAGAGGAUGAUCAGUCACACUGGAACUGGAACACGGUCCAGACUCCUACGGGAGGCAGCAGUGAGGAAUUUUGCGCAAUGGGGGAAACCCUGACGCAGCAACGCCGCGUGAGUGAAGAAGGCCUUUGGGUCGUAAAGCUCUGUCAACAAGGAAGAAGUUACACAUAUCCAAUAGGUGUGUGUAUUGACGGUACUUGUGGAGGAAGCGCCGGCUAACUCC